rnacentral:rRNA from 1 species
AGAGUUUGAUCCUGGCUCAGGAUGAACGCUGGCGGCGUGCUUAACACAUGCAAGUCGAACGGUGAACACGGAGCUUGCUCUGUGGGAUCAGUGGCGAACGGGUGAGUAACACGUGAGCAACCUGCCCCUGACUCUGGGAUAAGCGCUGGAAACGGCGUCUAAUACUGGAUAUGUGACGUGACCGCAUGGUCUGCGUUUGGAAAGAUUUUUCGGUUGGGGAUGGGCUCGCGGCCUAUCAGCUUGUUGGUGAGGUAAUGGCUCACCAAGGCGUCGACGGGUAGCCGGCCUGAGAGGGUGACCGGCCACACUGGGACUGAGACACGGCCCAGACUCCUACGGGAGGCAGCAGUGGGGAAUAUUGCACAAUGGGCGAAAGCCUGAUGCAGCAACGCCGCGUGAGGGAUGACGGCCUUCGGGUUGUAAACCUCUUUUAGCAGGGAAGAAGCGAAAGUGACGGUACCUGCAGAAAAAGCGCCGGCUAACUACGUGCCAGCAGCCGCGGUAAUACGUAGGGCGCAAGCGCUAUCCGGAAUUAUUGGGCGUAAAGAGCUCGUAGGCGGUUUGUCGCGUCUGCUGUGAAAUCCCGAGGCUCAACCUCGGGCCUGCAGUGGGUACGGGCAGACUAGAGUGCGGUAGGGGAGAUUGGAAUUCCUGGUGUAGCGGUGGAAUGCGCAGAUAUCAGGAGGAACACCGAUGGCGAAGGCAGAUCUCUGGGCCGUAACUGACGCUG